rnacentral:rRNA from 1 species
AUUGAACGCUGGCGGCAGGCCUAACACAUGCAAGUCGAGCGGAUGAAGGGAGCUUGCUCCUGGAUUCAGCGGCGGACGGGUGAGUAAUGCCUAGGAAUCUGCCUGGUAGUGGGGGAUAACGUCCGGAAACGGGCGCUAAUACCGCAUACGUCCUGAGGGAGAAAGUGGGGGAUCUUCGGACCUCACGCUAUCAGAUGAGCCUAGGUCGGAUUAGCUAGUUGGUGGGGUAAAGGCCUACCAAGGCGACGAUCCGUAACUGGUCUGAGAGGAUGAUCAGUCACACUGGAACUGAGACACGGUACAGACUCCUACGGGAGGCGGCAGUGGGGAAUAUUAGACAAUGGGCGAAAGCCUGAUCCAGCCAUGCCGCGUGUGUGAAGAAGGUCUUCGGAUUGGAAAGCACUUUAAGUUGGGAGGAAGGGCAGUAAGUUAAUACCUUGCUGUUUUGACGUUACCAACAGAAUAAGCACCGGCUAACUUCGUG